CAAAACGAGCAGUGUAUCCGCAAAAGCUAGUGAACACAACAGCAGAGAACACUCGGGAUUCUCCCUUUCCAUCAUACCUCUCUUUACUCAAAAUCAAAGGCUCUCAGAAAAGCCACACUUCCCACGCCACCACCACCGACCAUUACUAAGAAAACCAGCAGCACCCACCCAGCCCAUACCUUAUAACACCCCAACCCCUCAACCAUCCCCCAAAAUACUCUUAAAUCAAGGCUCACACAACAACUAUGUCUAGUCUCCACCAUUCCCUUCUCCUCAACAUCAUCAUCACUCUCUUUGCUUCCAUGUCACCAUCUCUAUCAUCUUCACCACCCCCAUUGCCUCCUCCAUCCUCAAAUGUAUCUGCUUCUUCUCUCCUCUCCUUCCUCCACAGCCUACCAAAAUCCUCUCAGCCGCUUCUCCCCUGGAACCAAUCCCUCCCCACCUGCCGCUGGGCCGGCGUUUCAUGCGCCUCUCGCUCCCCCGGCGCCAUCUCAUCCCUUAACAUCUCCGGCCUCGCCCUCGCCGGCCCCCUCGCCGCCUCUGCCCCCCACCUCUGCCGCCUCCCCUCCCUCCUCUCCCUCGACCUCAGCCUCAACCGCUUCUCCGGCCCCAUCCCCCCCCAGCUCGGCGCCUGCUCCCGCCUCCGCAUUCUCCUUCUCGACGGCAAUCUCCUCUCCGGCUCCAUCCCGCCGGAACUCUUCCGCUCCAAAUCGCUCGUAAAGCUCAACCUCGGCGACAAUGCUCUCUCCGGCUCGAUCCCUCCCGAGGUAAGAUCCUCCACUAAGCUGGAAUACCUCGGUCUGUAUCAGAAUUCAUUGAAUGGAGAGAUCCCGGAGCAGCUCUUCCUCCUCCCCAAUCUCAAAUACUUGUACCUCAACACCAACAAUCUUUCUGGGAGAUUGCUCGGCUUCCCCGCCGAUUGCUCGAUCUCCGAACUGUAUGUUCACGAGAACAUGCUCUCCGGCGAGCUCCCUCAUAGCCUGAUCAAUUGCCGGAACCUUACAUCAUUCUCUGCAUCCUAUAAUGGUUUUGGAGGAAUUCUGCCGGAUGUGUUCUCCGGCCUUCGCCGGCUGGAGGCACUCUAUCUGGAUGAUAAUAACUUCGUGGGAGAGUUGCCGAGGAGCAUAGAAAGCCUUGAGAACCUGCAAGUGCUUGAUCUUUCAGGGAAUGGUUUCAAUGGCACCAUCCCUGAAGGAAUUGGCCGAUGCCGAUCAUUGAUCACUCUCUCCUUGUGGGGGAAUCGGCUCACAGGUCCAAUCCCACCCUCGAUAGGAGACCUCAGGAAUCUGGAGUAUCUUUAUCUUGGGCAGAACCUUCUUGUGGGGUCUCUGCCGCCCGAGCUCGGGAAAUGCAGCUCCUUGGUGGAGCUUGGGCUUCAGGAAAAUCUUAUUGGAGGAUCGAUUCCCCCGGAGAUUUGUGAUCUCAAGAACCUUGAGAGCCUCUACAUCUUUAAGAACCAAUUAGAAGGAACUAUUCCUCGAGAUGUUGGGAAAAUGAGCAGUCUUGUGAGCUUGCAGUUGUAUAACAACAGUUUGAGUGGAGAGAUCCCUGCAGAGAUUACCUUUCUGAGGCAGCUGAGUUCUCUGGCUUUGGCUUUCAACAAUCUAACUGGGGAGGUGCCUCCAGCUCUCGGGAAGAGCACGGUCGGGGGUUUGGUCAUGCUGGAUUUGACAGGCAAUGAUUUUUAUGGGCCGAUCCCGACCGAUCUCUGCUCAGGUGGUAACCUUACUGUUUUGGUCAUCGGACGCAACCGCUUCAAUGGUAGCUUCCCUGUUGAGAUUGCUGGCUGUGCAUCCCUUAGGAGACUGAUACUAAGCCACAAUUGUCUACAAGGAAAUAUACCAGGAAACUUGAGUUUGAAAUUGGGAACAUCAUACUUGGACCUCAGCAGUAACUUGUUUGAUGGAAGCAUACCACCCCUUCUUGGUUCCUGGCACAACCUCUCAAUGCUUGACAUUUCAAACAAUUCUUUUUCUGGGCCUUUACCUCCCGAGCUUGGUAACCUUAGGAAUCUUCAAACUUUACGCAUCUCCUCGAACAGGUUAACGGGAUCAAUUCCCUCUGAAUUAGGUAAUUGCACAAAGCUUCUUCUCUUAGACCUCAGUGAAAAUCAACUUUCAGGAAGUAUUCCUGUGGAGAUUGCUACAUCAGAGAAGCUGCAAAGUCUGAUCCUCUCAGGGAACAAGCUUGAGGGAAGGAUUCCAGACUCCUUUACAUCCCUCCAGGGCCUACUAGAAUUGCAGCUUGGAAACAACAUGCUGGAUGGGACUAUCCCUUACAGUCUAGGUAAUCUUCGAUACAUAUAUCUAGCACUGAACCUUAGCAACAACAGAUUGACUGGCCAGAUUCCUGCUAGCCUUGGUAACCUUGAUAAGCUGCUGAUGCUUGAUUUAUCGAACAAUUCUCUGUCUGGUCAGAUUCCUUCACAACUAAACAAUAUGAACUCCCUUUCAUUUGUAAAUAUAUCUUGUAACCAACUAUCUGGGAAUCUGCCAACCAGUUGGGUUAAGCUCUUAGCUUCAUCACCAGACUCUUUCUCGGGAAUCCCUGACUUAUGUCUACUAGGCAAAGAUGGGAGUUAUUGCCAGAAAGAAAUAAAACAGCAUGGCCACAGAACUAGAUGGGUUUUACUAGCUGCAGUGGUGUCCGGCGUAGUCCUCCUAGUAGCUGGAUUAUGUGCUAUCAACUAUUUAGCUGUGAGAGCUCAUCGCCUGUCAGCUCCUCAUGUUUUGAUACAUAGUGUUGACUUGACUGAAGAUUUGCCAGGAGAUUUGACAUAUGAAGAUAUAUUGCGAGCUACUGAAGAGUUGAGUGAAAAGUAUGUGGUUGGGAGGGGCAGGCAUGGGAUUGUUUAUCGCACCAUGUUUGGAAUCGGCAAAUGUUGGGCUGUGAAGAAGCUUGAUCUAUCCGAAUCCAGCUUUUCCCUUGAAAUGAAGAUUCUGAGUUUGGUAAAGCACCGAAACAUAGUCCGAAUGGCUGGAUAUUGCAUCAGAGAUGGCUUUGGUUUCAUAAUUUAUGAGUACAUGUCUGGUGGGACACUUUUCGAAGUCCUGCAUCAGAGAACGCCUCAAGUGGCCUUGGACUGGAAAACCCGUCAUCAUAUUGCUCUCGGGAUAGCCCAAGCCCUGUCCUAUCUUCAUCAUGACUGUGUGCCACAGAUUAUUCAUAGGGAUGUGAAAUCAAACAACAUAUUAAUGGACUCUGAACUAGAAGCCAAGAUCGGAGACUUUGGAAUGGCUAAAAUGAUCAAGAAUUCAGAUGUUAGUUCAACAAUAUCUUCAAUCAUAGGAACUCUUGGCUACAUUGCCCCUGAAAAUGGCUAUUCAACCAGACUGACUGAGAAAAGUGACGUUUACAGCUAUGGAGUCGUUCUGUUAGAGCUUCUUUGUAGAAAAUUACCAGUAGAUCCCAGCUUUGAAGAUGGAGUUGACAUUGUUCAAUGGAUAAAAUCAAAUUUGCAGAAGUUUGAUGAGUGUAGUCCUCUUGAUUGCCUUGACGAAGAAAUCUGGUACUGGGUGGAAGAUGAGAAGGCAAAAGCACUGAAGCUAAUGGAUCUAGCAGUAUCGUGUACUCAGUGGGCAUGCGAAGCAAGGCCCUCCAUGAGAGAAGUAGUAGGGAUCUUGCUCAAGUUGGAAGGAUAGUAUAAUUAAUUUACUUCUGCUCAAGAGGAUCCUGCAUCACCAAGGGGAAGCUAGAGGAGUGCUAGUUAAGUCCCUUCUUUCUGGAUGCUUUUCAGAAUUGACAUCCAUGGAUCAAAUUGAAGAGCCUAACAGUUUAGUUGAUCCUGGCCAAUUAAUACAAUCAUGUAGGAUGUCUUUGCUGGGUCCUGAUUCAGUAUAUAUUUCAACUUGGUGCCUAGCUGCAAAGAUGAGGCUUGUGAUCUUGGCAGCUGUAUAUCCGAAGGGAAGGUUGGUGACUCUCACUUCCUCAGAAUACCCUGUACAUGUUAAAUCAUCCUAAAUCCAAGCUGUAAGCUUUUCACAGAAUCGAUGAUGCCUGAAGGAAUGGCCGGCCUAGUGCCUAUUGUGCCUACCAGUAAGAUGUUAGGGACCUAAGAUCUUAUGUAGUUCUCAACAUGUAUAAUUCUGUUUUUGCAAGAAACCCUAUGCAAAUUGGUUGGCAGUGCAUCCUUUUGUUUUUCAGUUUGGGAGUAGGGGAAGAAUAAAAAUGGUACAGGAAUUCUGAAGUUUUGUCUAUGCUAAAAUUGGUGACUCUUUACUUUCUUUUGAUCCAAAAUUGUUUCCAUUA